UUUCCACUUGCCAGUAUCGGGAACUAUUGAGCAAUUUGUAGAUAUCCCUGGAUGCUUAUAUACAGUAUGUGACAAUCACUUUAGGAAAAUGAUAAUUUAUAUACCUUUCCAUAUAUUCUUGUUGGUCUAUUUUCCUGGUAUUUGAUCUCACUGUCAAUUUGUUUUGUCUUCUGUUCUCCUUUAUACAGGUCAAUCCCAUUGCUGUAAAUAGCAAUUACUGCAAUGUUUUUCACGGAGAAUAAGCGUGUUUGUUUCAAUAAUUUCAACUGUAGACUUUGGAAAGGUGGCAUUUGUUGCAAUAGGAGCUACAAUGGUCGGUAGCAUCACUUUUACUAAAAAGAAGGGUGAAUAUGUCAAGAAGGAGACGAGGUAUUCGAGAGACAGAUUGGUCUCUUUUUCCCCCCUUCCAUCUUUCGUUUCUCCUGCUAAUUGACAUUUCAUUUGCUUAAAUUGCAGUUUGGAUAUUCUCGUUUGGCGGAAGCACUGUAAUCUGUGUUUUUGAAAGGUUGGUUUUAAUACUGUGAUAAUGCUUCACUAUUUUCAUUUAAUAAUUCUUCAUUAAUUAUUUAUAAAUUUUUAUUGUAGAAAAUAUUCCUGAUCUUUAUUUUUCUUUCCCUAAUCAUAAUUUUUGUGCAGUUUUAGCAUGAUCUACGAGCCAGUCAUCAAUAAAUCUUGUGCACAAAAUUAAUUUAUUUUACUUAUUUUGAAGAUUCUCUUCAGAUUUUUGGUCUGAUAUGAAUUGCUUGUGCCAGUCAUUAGGUUAAGAAAAAAUACCAACGACAAACCUUAAUUGUAAAGCCAUGUUCUCCUCCAAUCCUCUUGCACAUGCUCUUGUUAUUUAAUGUAAUUUCUUAUUUCUCAUCUGAUCCAUUCAGUUCAUUGUAUCAUUAGUUUUUAAGGAAAUGUAAUUGGUGCGUUCUUUUACAAGAAUAGAGGUGGGGGCACAGCAGUGGAUAUUAAAUCUUUGACUGAGUUUUAGUGUUAGAGACUAAGUUUGGAUAAGGACACGAUGAUAUGACAAGAUUUAAAGUGUCCUGCAAUGUGAGAUGUGAUGAUCUUGGCACAUUUCAAACGCGUAGAGCUGGUUUUGUUUAAAUUGCCUAUGCCUCAACAAUUGCAGAAAUUUCAUGAAGUCUAGUCUAUAAAGGGAGCUGAACUAUAUCAUUUGCUUCUUCAGUUGUAUUACAUAUGAACGGGACAACCAAAGGCAUUACUGCUGUGCCUCAAUUCUCUAUUCUGAUUGGUUUAAUCUCCAAAUGGUUUACACGUCCAACUCCUUUCUUUAUUUAUUUAUCUUGCAUGUGUAAUCAGUGGGCUUAAUUAUUACUUGGCCUGAGAUCUUAGCUUUCUGAGAAGAUUGAUAAUUUCCUGUGUUAAUCUUCGGAAAAUAAGUGAAAUGACAUCUCUGUCCUUUCUUUUUGUUGGCCUGCAGAUUCAAUAGCGAUUGAUGAAGACCUCCUAGCAAAUAGCGCUAGAUCACUGAGACCUUGGUUUGUGUAGGAAUGAAACUGGGCAUCUCCACAAGGGGAUCUCCGGUUGCCUGACAAAUUUGGUGAUGAGCUCUUGCCAUUGGAUAUUGAAGAUGUUGUUCGUACUUGUACGCAGUUUUAAAACUCAUUCAAAAUCAAAGACUUCUUUUGCUGGCUCUAUUUGGGGUUGAUCUGUUUUUGUGAAGAAGUGAAGAAAAAUCAGAGAAACUCUACAGCUUACUCUCCAAAGCACACAAAUGAGGUGAGUCUCCUAACAACCUCUUCAACUGGUCCAUCACAUUGUGCAUUACGUCGAUAGGCAGAUGUUAGACUAGGUUGAAUUCGUUGUUUUGGACUUGAGCUCUUGCCUCAAUGAGCUUACAGUAGUAGGAUCUCUCAUGGGCUUUGUAAAAAGUUGGUGCUCCGUGUGGCAUAAAUCAUAUGAUCAAGAAAUAAGUGAACUAUACUAGCAGUUGUAUAUAUGACGAGCAAGGGCUGGCGAGUAUGCACAUUUGCUUAGCCUAUCUGCAAUCACCCAGUUUAACAGUUCUACCAUGAAGAAUUUCUCUAGAAUUAAUUUCAA